CAGCAGCCGCGGGAACACGGAGGGUGCAAGCGUUAAUCGGAAUUACUGGACGUAAAGCGUGCGUAGGCGGUUCGUUAAGUCUGUUGUGAAAGCCCCGGGCUCAACCUGGGAAUGGCAAUGGAUACUGGCGAGCUAGAGUGUGUCAGAGGAUGGUGGAAUUCCCGGUGUAGCGGUGAAAUGCGUAGAGAUGUGGAGGAACACCAGUGGCGAAGGCGACUCUCUGGUCUGUAACUGACGCUGAGGAGCGAAAGCGUGGGGAGCGGACAGGAUUAGAUACCCGGGUAGUCCCUGUCUCUUAUAA
rnacentral:rRNA from 1 species